AGUGACUAGCUAUAGGCAUCAUUUGUGUGUCACAAGUGAUGUAGUAAGGGAAAAUAAUGAUAUUACCUUAUUAAUAGUGUCGUCAAAAGCUGGUGCCAGAAGACUCGGUAAGGCCAGAGACACAAACGCUUAAUCAAAAUAAAAAGGCGUAAAGGGUACGUAGGCAGAGUUUAAUUUAUUCAAUGAUAAUAACUUAAGUCAUUCAUAUUAAUAAACUAUAGAAUCUAAUAGAGGUAAAUACAUGAUAUGUUAGGAGGAAAGAUGAUAUGUGUAGAAACUUAACGGAAAUUUCUCAAGGCGUAAGCGUCUAGCCACUAAAGAUUGACGCUGAGGAACGAAGGACUGGUGCAAGCAACAGGAUUAGAUACCCCAGUACUCAUCACUGUAAACGAUGAAUGGAAUUUUUUAGUUUUAGAACUAGAUUUGACGUUAACAUACAACCAUUCCGCCUUAUGAGUACGACUCCAAAGUUGAAAAUAAAGAAAUUAGUCGGUCUCGAAGCAAACGAAGUGAAGCAUGU
rnacentral:rRNA from 1 species